rnacentral:rRNA from 1 species
GACGAACGCUGGCGGCGUGCUUAACACAUGCAAGUCGAACGGUGAAGCGCCUUCCUUUUUGGUGGGUGUGGAUGAGUGGCGAACGGGUGAGUAACACGUGAGUAACCUGCCCCCUUCUUCUGGAUAACCGCAUGAAAGUGUGGCUAAUACUGGAUAUUCUGGGUCUGUCGCAUGAUGGGUCUGUGAAAGAUAUUGUUUCGGUGGGGGAUGGGCUCGCGGCCUAUCAGCUUGUUGGUGGGGUGAUGGCCUACCAAGGCGGUGACGGGUAGCCGGCCUGAGAGGGUGGACGGGCACACUGGGACGGAGACACGGACCAGACUCCUACGGGAGGCAGCAGUGGGGAAUAUUGCACAAUGGGCGCAAGCCUGAUGCAGCGACGCCGCGUGAGGGAUGGAGGCCUUCGGGUUGUGAACCUCUUUCGCCAGUGAAGCAGGCCUGCCUCGUUUGUGGGUGGGUUGACGGUAGCUGGAGAAGAAGCGCCGGCUAACUACGUG